rnacentral:rRNA from 1 species
CGGGGCUUAAAGUCAUGUAAUUGGAAUGAUGGGAAUUUAAACCUCUUCCAGAGUAUCAAUUGGAGGGCAAGUCUGGUGCCAGCAGCCGCGGUAAUUCCAGCUCCAAUAGCGUAUAUUAAAAUUGUUGCAGUUAAAAAGCUCGUAGUUGAAUUUCUGCUGCAUUGCUUGUGUCCCUCUGGGGUCUGUGCAUGUGGCUUUUUUCGGACGGAGUUUCUUUGUCUGAAUGUUUACUUUGAGAAAAUUAGAGUGCUCAAAGCAGGCUUUCGCCUUGAAUAGUUUAGCAUGGAAUAAUAAAGUAGGACUUUGGUUCUAUUUUGUUGGUUUUAGGUACCAAAGUAAUGGUUAAUAGGAACAGUUGGGGGCAUUCGUAUUUAACUGUCAGAGGUGAAAUUCUUAGAUUUGUUAAAGACGAACUACUGCGAAAGCAUUUGCCAAGGAUGUUUUCAUUAAUCAAGAAC